rnacentral:rRNA from 1 species
UACGUAGGGUGCAAGCGUUAAUCGGAAUUAUUGGGCGUAAAGCGUGCGCAGGCGGUUGUGCAAGACAGAUGUGAAAUCCCCGGGCUCAACCUGGGAAUUGCAUUUGUGACUGCACGGCUAGAGUGUGUCAGAGGGGGGUAGAAUUCCACGUGUAGCAGUGAAAUGCGUAGAGAUGUGGAGGAAUACCGAUGGCGAAGGCAGCCCCCUGGGAUAACACUGACGCUCAUGCACGAA